UACGUAGGGUGCGAGCGUUGUCCGGAAUUAUUGGGCGUAAAGAGCUUGUAGGCGGUUUGUCGCGUCUGCUGUGAAAAUCCGGGGCUCAACCCCGGACUUGCAGUGGGUACGGGCAGACUAGAGUGUGGUAGGGGAGACUGGAAUUCCUGGUGUAGCGGUGAAAUGCGCAGAUAAUCAGGAGGAACACCGGUGGCGAAGGCGGGUCUCUGGGCCGAUACUGACGCUGAGGAGCGAAAGCCGGGUAGGGAGCGAACAGGG
rnacentral:rRNA from 1 species